ACUGGAUAUGCACCAAGCUAAAUAUGCUGCUAAAAUACAUCUUCGAUACACAUUAGAAGCCCGGUGUGUCAUGCAGAUGAUAUGCAUGUCAUGAACCCUUCUCAGAUUUUUGUUUGAAAUGAUUUUUAUAUUUACAGCACUGGAACGGGUUUUUGUCCAUAGCCACAGUGGCAACUCUCAGACAGCUUGAGAGGCGAUUUUACCCUCAGAAGGGCGGUGUGCAAAUUUCAAACAGGAGAACCAAUCCAAAGCAUCGGAAUAACAUCACACUUU